ACUGGUCUCAUCUGAUCACUGAAGAUAAGCAAUAUUGAGCCUGGUCAGUACCUAGAUGGGUGACCACUUUGAAAUUCCAGGUGCUGUAAGC